rnacentral:rRNA from 1 species
UACGCAGGGCGCAAGCGUUGUCCGGAAUUAUUGGGCGUAAAGAGCUCGUAGGCGGUUUGUCGCGUCUGUCGUGAAAGCCCACGGCUUAACCGUGGGUCUGCGGUGGAUACGGGCAGACUAGAGGCAGGUAGGGGAGAAUGGAAUUCCCGGUGUAGCGGUGAAAUGCGCAGAUAUCGGGAGGAACACCGGUGGCGAAGGCGGUUCUCUGGGCCUGUACUGACGCUGAGGAGCGAAAGCGUGGGGAGCGAACAGG